GACGAACGCUGGCGGCAGGCUUAACACAUGCAAGUCGAGCGCCCCGCAAGGGGAGCGGCGGACGGGUGAGUAACGCGUGGGAAUCUGCCCUUUGGUGUGGGACAACCACGGGAAACUGUGGCUAAUACCGCAUGAGCCCGAGAGGGGAAAGCCGCAAGGCGCCGAGGGAUGAGCCCGCGUCGGAUUAGCUAGUUGGUAGGGUAACGGCCUACCAAGGCGAUGAUCCGUAGCUGGUCUGAGAGGAUGAUCAGCCACACUGGGACUGAGACACGGCCCAGACUCCUACGGGAGGCAGCAGUGGGGAAUAUUGGACAAUGGGGGAAACCCUGAUCCAGCCAUGCCGCGUGAGUGAUGAAGGCCUUCGGUUGU
rnacentral:rRNA from 1 species